AGCGGAGGUAUUCACUUCUGCCUGAGGGAUACGCCUCUGCCCAUGCGCUAUUAGCCAUAGCUCUAUCAAGUCUGCAUUUGACCAAAUGGGUCCACAAAUGAACCCUCAGCUCUAGGUGGUCCUCCUCUCUUCUCUGCGUUGUUGAUAAUGUCAUUAAAGUCACCAGCAAGGAUCCAUGGGUCACUUCUCCCUUCGCCAAAGGAAGACAGAACUUCCACUUCAAUCGAAUCCUUCCAAAACAGUGCAAGGCCACCCGCACCUGGUGAGCUUGGUGGCACAAUCAGUUUCGA